rnacentral:rRNA from 1 species
GGGACAGGGGGGGGGUGCUAUACAUGCAGUCGAACGCGUUGGCCCAAUUGAUUGACGGUGCUUGCACCUGAUUGAUUUUGGUCGCCAACGAGUGGCGGACGGGUGAGUAACACGUAGGUAACCUGCCCAGAAGCGGGGGACAACAUUUGGAAACAGAUGCUAAUACCGCAUAACAGCGUUGUUCGCAUGAACAACGCUUAAAAGAUGGCUUCUCGCUAUCACUUCUGGAUGGACCUGCGGUGCAUUAGCUUGUUGGUGGGGUAACGGCCUACCAAGGCGAUGAUGCAUAGCCGAGUUGAGAGACUGAUCGGCCACAAUGGGACUGAGACACGGCCCAUACUCCUACGGGAGGCAGCAGUAGGGAAUCUUCCACAAUGGGCGCAAGCCUGAUGGAGCAACACCGCGUGAGUGAAGAAGGGUUUCGGCUCGUAAAGCUCUGUUGUUAAAGAAGAACACGUAUGAGAGUAACUGUUCAUACGUUGACGGUAUUUAACCAGAAAGUCACGGCUAACUACGUGCCAGCAGCCGCGGUAAUACGUAGGUGGCAAGCGUUAUCCGGAUUUAUUGGGCGUAAAGAGAGUGCAGGCGGUUUUCUAAGUCUGAUGUGAAAGCCUUCGGCUUAACCGGAGAAGUGCAUCGGAAACUGGAUAACUUGAGUGCAGAAGAGGGUAGUGGAACUCCAUGUGUAGCGGUGGAAUGCGUAGAUAUAUGGAAGAACACCAGUGGCGAAGGCGGCUACCUGGUCUGCAACUGACGCUGAGACUCGAAAGCAUGGGUAGCGAACAGGAUUAGAUACCCUGGUAGUCCAUGCCGUAAACGAUGAGUGCUAGGUGUUGGAGGGUUUCCGCCCUUCAGUGCCGGAGCUAACGCAUUAAGCACUCCGCCUGGGGAGUACGACCGCAAGGUUGAAACUCAAAGGAAUUGACGGGGGCCCGCACAAGCGGUGGAGCAUGUGGUUUAAUUCGAAGCUACGCGAAGAACCUUACCAGGUCUUGACAUCUUGCGCCAACCCUAGAGAUAGGGCGUUUCCUUCGGGAACGCAAUGACAGGUGGUGCAUGGUCGUCGUCAGCUCGUGUCGUGAGAUGUUGGGUUAAGUCCCGCAACGAGCGCAACCCUUGUUACUAGUUGCCAGCAUUAAGUUGGGCACUCUAGUGAGACUGCCGGUGACAAACCGGAGGAAGGUGGGGACGACGUCAGAUCAUCAUGCCCCUUAUGACCUGGGCUACACACGUGCUACAAUGGACGGUACAACGAGUCGCGAACUCGCGAGGGCAAGCAAAUCUCUUAAAACCGUUCUCAGUUCGGACUGCAGGCUGCAACUCGCCUGCACGAAGUCGGAAUCGCUAGUAAUCGCGGAUCAGCAUGCCGCGGUGAAUACGUUCCCGGGCCUUGUACACACCGCCCGUCACACCAUGAGAGUUUGUAACACCCAAAGUCGGUGGGGUAACCUUUUAGGAGCCAGCCGCCUAAGUGACAGAUGG